rnacentral:rRNA from 1 species
GACGAACGCUGGCGGCGUGCCUAACACAUGCAAGUCGAACGGGGUAGCCCUUCGGGGUUACUUAGUGGCGAACGGGUGAGUAACGCGUGAGAAACCUGCCUCUCAGUGGGGGACAACAGUUGGAAACGACUGCUAAUACCGCAUAACACUUUAGUACCGCAUGGUACAGAAGUCAAAGCUUUAUGUGCUGAGAGAUGGUCUCGCGUCUGAUUAGCUAGAUGGCGGGGUAACGGCCCACCAUGGCGACGAUCAGUAGCCGGUCUGAGAGGAUGAACGGCCACAUUGGGACUGAGAUACGGCCCAGACUCCUACGGGAGGCAGCAGUGGGGAAUAUUGGGCAAUGGGGGAAACCCUGACCCAGCAACGCCGCGU